rnacentral:rRNA from 1 species
GACGAACGCUGGCGGCGUGCCUAACACAUGCGAGUCAACUUGACUGAAGGAGCAAUCUGACAGUAGAGUGGCGCAAGGGUGCGUAACGCGUAAGUAACUUGCCCCAAGGUAAGGAAUAACGUCGAGAAAUCGGCGCUAAUACCUCAUAAUGCAGCGGAUCCGCAUGGAUAUGUUGUUAAAGGUUUACCGCCUUGGGAUAGGCUUGCGUCUGAUUAGCUAGUUGGUGUGGUAACGGCACACCAAGGCUACGAUCAGUAACUGGUCUGAGAGGAUGAUCAGUCACACUGGAACUGAGACACGGUCCAGACUCCUACGGGAGGCAGCAGUGAGGAAUAUUGGGCAAUGCUCGAAAGAAUGACCCAGCAACGCCGCGUGGAGGAUGAAGGUAUUCUAUAUCGUAAACUCCUGUGAGAGCAGACGAAAGACAGAUUAUUAAUCUGGAUGACUGUAUGCUCAGAGGAAGCCCCGGCUAACUACG